UAGGAUUCCCUCAGUAAUGGCGAAUGAACAGGGAUCAGCUCAGCAUGGAAAUUGGGGCCUCUGGCCUUGAAUUGUAGUCUUGAGAUGGCAUCGCCAGCGGAGGCGCAGAUGUAAGCCUCUUGGAAAAGAGCAUCAAUGAGGGUGAGAGUCCCGUUUGUCAUCUGCAGUCCCCCGUGCACGGCUUGCUUUCUAAGAGUCACGUUCCUUGGGAUUGGAGCGCAAAUUGGGUGGUAAAUUUCAUCUAAAGCUAAAUAUUGGUUCGAGACCGAUAGCAAACAAGUACCAUGAGGGAAAGGUGAAAAGGACUUUGAAAAGAGAGUUAAAAGUGCCUGAAAUUGCUGAAAGGGAAGCGAAUGGAACCAGUUUUUCUUGGCGAGAUUGUUGCGUGCUAAUGUGAUGGCUUGUUGCUUCAACGCAAGUGUUGCAGCGGGUUUUGAUCUGGACGUGCGCGGUGCUUCUUGCCUUGGGUGUCAACGUCGGUUCAGACUUGAGGAAAACUCCAGGGACAUGGUAAGUCACUUCUGGGUGACUGAAAGUGCUUGGCAGAACUCAUUUCUGAACUGAAUUCCGCAUGUCUGGUCGCAGUGCUUUCACUUCCCGUGCUUCGUUCGGAGCUCUCUGGGCUCUGCGCUGGGCUGGGACGUGGGGCAUCUCCCUGACAUCAGUACGAUGACAAAAUGGUUUUAUUCGACCCGUCUUGAAACACGGACCAAGGAGUCUAACAUAUGUGCAAGUUCACGGGUGUUAAACCUGCUUGCGCAAUGAAAGUGACUGCUGGGAUAUUUGCACCAGCAACCGACCAAUCAAUUGUGAGAGGUUUGAGUAUGAGCAUAUCUGUUAGGACCCGAAAGAUGGUGAACUAUGCCUGAGAAGGGCGAA
rnacentral:rRNA from 1 species